AUUGGAUAUGGUUACUUUAACACUGGAUUUGCAAAUGCAGUACAGCUGACUUAUGUUUCACAUGGUCAGUUGGAGAUUUCCCAGGCAAAAUUUCUAGUAACUCAGCAUUUGAUUGUCAUCAGUGAGCAAGGUUCAGUUUAGGGAUUGAGAGCCCUCAGCGACUAUAACACCUAGCCCAUAUCAAAAGCACUUGAUUGCUGCCACUGAUUCUAUCUUGUGGAAUCCAAAAUGCCUAUCUUGUAUGGAAUGCUUGACAGCCAAAUGGCUGUCAAGUACUACGAAUGAUUUAAACAAAUGCCAAAGGUGAGACAUGCUGGAAAAGCUUGAUAUGAAUGUGUAGACGUAGUUUUGGAAUUCAGAGGUGCAGCCGGCUGUUGGGAUUGCGCCAUCCAGGCAAUGUGAAUAUUCUGCCAUGUACAUGAUAAACCGAGGAUUCUUCAUCAACAUGCAAGAUGUUACUCCCUGUAAACUACUGUUGGCAGAAAAGCUGAUACAUUGGGAAAACGGUUAUGGCAAGUGAGAUGAAUAAAUCACCAUAGGUCAGUUGUCUUGCCUUCACAAUUGCAAUGAAGAUGAAUCAUGGAG